UACGAAGGGUGCAAACGUUGCUCGGAAUUAUUGGGCGUAAAGCGCACGUAGGCGGCAUCGCAAGUCCCAUGUGAAAGCCCACGGCUUAACCGUGGAAGUGCAUGGGAAACUGCAGUGCUUGAGUACUUAAGAGGAUCGCGGAAUUCCCGGUGUAGAGGUGAAAUUCGUAGAUAUCGGGAGGAACACCGAUGGCGAAGGCAAUCCCCUGGACCUGUACUGACGCUCAUGCACGAAAGCGUGGGGAGCAAACAGG
rnacentral:rRNA from 1 species